rnacentral:snRNA from 1 species
GGAUAUGAGGGUGAUCUGGCUGCGACAUCUGUCACCCCAGUGAUCGCCAGGGUUGAUUCGGCUGAUCUGGCUGGCUAGGCGGGUGUCCCCUUCCUCCCUCACCGCUCCAUGUGCAUCCCUCCCGAAGCUGCGGCCUUCCCCAAAUAAAGACGGACCUGUCUUCGGUUGAGGGUAUACGAGUAGCUGCGCUCCCCUGCUAGGACCUCUAAACAAGCUCUCAAGAACAUAAUAGCCAAUAUACAGUAAUUCUUUUAUUUAUUUACUCCCUUUUUUAAAUUUGUUGCCCCUUUUUAUUUAA